rnacentral:rRNA from 1 species
CAGUCGUACCGGCGGAUAAUCAGCCUUUCGGGUGCGAUUCUGUGGGGCGUGAGGAGCUUAACCGCCUUCAUGUUUUGCAUAUUCGUGCACAUUUGGUGUACUUGUCCGUGUGGUGGGUUAACAUCAAUUUCGGACGCCAUAAAAUGGCUGGAGGAAUGUAGCUUCGAUCUCGUAUUGAAGUGUUAUAGCCUUCGGUAGAUGUGGUGAUCGAGAUUGAGGAUUGCAACGGAUACCCUUCGGGGCUACCUGUCUGGUCUCUGAUCGUUGCUCUGGUGCCGAAAGCUUGCUUACGGUUAUCAAAGUCGAUGGUCAAUAGGUUAGAACGGGUUAAAUUCGUUAAGGAUGUUGACGUAAUGGACUUUAAACGACCCGUCUUGAAACACGGAACCAAGGACGUCUAACAUAUAUG